rnacentral:pre_miRNA from 1 species
CGGCUCCUCAUAAGGCAGUCUUUCUGUGAAGUGUAAAGCUGCCUGGUGAAGAGCUGUCU